ensembl:snRNA LOC120098448 U6 spliceosomal RNA
AUGCUCUCUCUGGCAGCACAUAUACUGAAAUUGAGAUGAUACAGAGAUUAGCAAGGCCUUGUGCCAGAAUGACUUGCAAAUUCCUGAAUCGUUCUGUAUUUGU